rnacentral:rRNA from 1 species
UACGGAGGGUGCAAGCGUUGUCCGGAUUUAUUGGGUUUAAAGGGCGCGUAGGCGGCGUGACAAGUCACUUGUGAAAUCUCCGGGCUUAACUCGGAACGGUCAAGUGAUACUGUCGUGCUAGAGUACAGAAGGGGCAACUGGAAUUCUCGGUGUAGCGGUGAAAUGCGUAGAUAUCGAGAGGAACACCUGCGGCGAAGGCGGGUUGCUGGGCUGAUACUGACGCUGAGGCGCGAAAGCCAGGGGAGCGAACGGG